UACGAAGGGGCUAGCGUUGCUCGGAAUUACUGGGCGUAAAGCGCACGUAGGCGGCUUUCUAAGUCGGGGGUGAAAUCCUGGAGCUCAACUCCAGAACUGCCUUCGAUACUGGAAGCUCGAGUCCGGGAGAGGUGAGUGGAACUGCGAGUGUAGAGGUGAAAUUCGUAGAUAUUCGCAAGAACACCAGUGGCGAAGGCGGCUCACUGGCCCGGUACUGACGCUGAGGUGCGAAAGCGUGGGGAGCAAACAGG
rnacentral:rRNA from 1 species